rnacentral:rRNA from 1 species
CCUACGGGAGGCAGCAGUGGGGGAUAUUGCACAAUGGGGGGAACCCUGAUGCAGCGACGCCGCGUGGGUGAAGAAGCGCCUCGGCGUGUAAAGCCCUGUCAGCAGGGAAGAAAAUGACGGUACCUGAAGAAGAAGCCCCGGCUAACUACGUGCCAGCAGCCGCGGUAAUACGUAGGGGGCAAGCGUUAUCCGGAUUUACUGGGUGUAAAGGGGGCGCAGACGGCGAUGCAAGCCAGGAGUGAAAGCCCGGGGCCCAACCCCGGGACUGCUCUUGGAACUGCGUGGCUGGAGUGCAGUAGAGGCAGGCGGAAUUCCUAGUGUAGCGGUGAAAUGCGUAGAUAUUAGGAGGAACACCAGUGGCGAAGGCGGCCUGCUGGGCUUUUACUGACGCUGAGGCUCGAAAGUGUGGGGAGCAAACAGGAUUAGAUACCCCUGUAGUC